rnacentral:tRNA from 6 species
GCCCUCGUAGCUUAAUGGAUAAAGCAGGCCCGUCCUAAGGGCAAGAUGGGGGUCCGAUUCCCUCCGAGGGCA